rnacentral:snoRNA from 1 species
GUUUGGCUGAUGACACAACAAUUUGUCGGAUACCCCUUCACUCGCCUGAUGAGUGAGAACAGCAGUCUGACAAAC